CUUCUUCCUGCUGCCCAUGGCUCUGCAAAGAAGACGAAGCCCUGUUACCGCGGCCGUGGGCCGUUCCCCCGCAGCCUCGCGACAAACCGCUGCGUGGAUCAGCAAGCCCAGAGCCUCCUUCAGACAAGCCCCCCUCCUACGGCCCCCGGCCCCUUUUUAAGGUGCUUCUAACUGGCGGCAAAUCAGCACACUGAUACAAAGUGAACACCCCGCGAGGAAGCGGAGCCUGCAGUCCACGGGCUCGUGGCUCGCCGGGCGGUUUUCUGGGGAUCUGCGAAGCCCCCUCCCCACCCCGGAGCCGGCCAGGGGGCGCGCGCAGAGGCCGGAGUCAGUGCGCCGGGCGCGGUGCAGCCUGUCGGGCACAGGGUCGCCAGUCGAGGAAUUCUGACAAAAAAACGACAUGGGACCCUGUUAUCCCUGCUGUUCUUAUGGAUUACUGGGAAAGUGAGCCACUGCGAACGACAGGUACAAGAUCUUCGACGCGCCCGGAGUCACCAACCGAGUCUGCCGCGACCUAGCCGCGGUCGUCAUGGCAACCUGGCCCCCCCGCCAGGCCUGCCAGGAAAGCCGGCGGACACGUAAGCCACGCCCACUCUGGGCCCAACGCAGUCUCUCCGCGGAGGCUCUGAACCCAGCCAGGGAGAGGCAGGAGGGAGUCCCGCCCCUUGCCCUCCAUAUCGGACCAUAGGAACCCACUCAUUGGCUGCAGUGUUUGUCAGCGUCUGGAGGCUUCGAACCCACCAAGCAAAGACCCAGUGCAUCUGUGCGUUGCACAGUCGCAUCUGUGAAUCCCUGCAUCCCUCCUGCCCUGCCUGCCAAGACUGAUGUGCAGCUUUUCUACCAUCACAUACCGAUUCAUACAGAAUCACAUCUGCAUAGAACUGCAAUGAACUUCUCCGUCAUCCAUUACCAUCUUCAGCAAGGUAUGGAUCUUAGCCUGGUGGUAGAAUGUGAAGAUGAGGACCUCAUCCAGGUUUCUUCCUUCCUUGGGUGCUCUGCCUCAGCCCUAGAGGCUGCCCCUUAUAUCUGCUGUAAUUGUAUUCUUUAGAGUUUUCUUUUCCCUUUACUAGGUAAUCCCCUCUUACACAUAGUAUUUUUUUAUAUUAAAAUAUCCUUGUCCAAAUUAUUGUGUGGUUUCUGUAUCCUGAGUAAACUCUGACCAAUAAUACAUGGCUAUACCAAUUUAUACUUCUACUUGCAAUGUGUGAGAGUUCCAGUUCCUCCACAGUCAAUUAUUUUAAAG
rnacentral:lncRNA from 1 species